GGCCUAACACAUGCAAGUCGAGCGGUAUGCUUCUUCGGGAGUAGAGAGCGGCGUACGGGUGCGGAACACGUGUGCAACCUGCCUUUAUCAGGGAGAUAGCCUUUCGAAAGGAAGAUUAAUACCCCAUAAUAUAUUAAGUGGCAUCACUUGAUAUUGAAAACUACGGUGGAUAGAGAUGGGCACGCGCAAGAUUAGAUAGUUGGUGAGGUAACGGCUCACCAAGUCUACGAUCUUUAGGGGGCCUGAGAGGGUGAUCCCCCACACUGGUACUGAGACACGGACCAGACUCCUACGGGAGGCAGCAGUGAGGAAUAUUGGACAAUGGGUGAAAGCCUGAUCCAGCCAUCCCGCGUGAAGGACGACGGCCCUAUGGGUUGUAAACUUCUUUUGUAUAGGGAUAAACCUAGAUACGUGUAUCUAGCUGAAGGUACUAUACGAAUAAGCACCGGC
rnacentral:rRNA from 1 species